CAUGAAUGUGUUUUGUCUCUUUCAGGAGGUCCCCACCCUCAGUGUGCCCGUGGUUCAGGGUGAAUGCCUCCUCAAGUACCAGCUCCGUCCCAGGAGGGAGUGGCAGAGGGAUGCCAUUAUUACUUGCAAUCCUGAGGAAUUCAUAGUUGAGGCGCUGCAGCUUCCCAACUUCGAGCAGAGCGUGCAGGAGUACAGGAGGAGUGCGCAGGACGGCCCAGCCCUAGCAGAGAAAAGAAGUCAGUACCCAGAAAUCAUCUUCCUUGGAACAGGGUCUGCCAUCCCGAUGAAGAUUCGAAAUGUCAGUGCCACACUUGUCAACAUAAGCCCCAACACGUCUCUGCUACUGGACUGUGGUGAGGGCACGUUUGGGCAGCUGUGCCGUCAUUACGGAGACCAGGUGGACAGAGUCCUGGGCACCCUGGCUGCUGUGUUUGUGUCCCACCUGCACGCAGAUCACCACACGGGCUUGCUAAAUAUCUUGCUGCAGAGAGAACGAGCCUUGGCAUCUUUGGGAAAGCCACUUCACCCUUUGCUGGUGAUUGCCCCCAGCCAGCUCAAAGCCUGGCUCCAGCAGUACCACAACCAGUGCCAGGAGGUCCUGCACCACAUCAG
rnacentral:sRNA from 1 species